rnacentral:rRNA from 1 species
GUUGUUGCGGUUAAAACGUUCGUAGUUGAAUUUGUGUCCCACACGGGUAAUUGGCCCACUUACGGGUUCUUAUUACUUGCCGGCUUGCUGGCUUUAGUGUGCGGACGUUUUACCGGUGAGGGAAACGGUGUAGUUUCGGCUGCAAUACGCCCCUUAUUUAUUUCAUAAACCCGUCUUGGUGCUUUUAAUCGAGUGCCAAUGUGGGCCGGUACUAUUACUUUGAACGAAUUAGAGUGCUUAAAGCAGGCUAAAUUUAAUGAAAGUUAAAACGCCUGAAUAUAUUUUGCAUGGAAUAAUGGAAUAGGACCUCUGUUCUACUUUCAUUGGUUUUUAGACCAAGAGGUAAUGAUUAAUAGAAGCAGUUGGGGGCAUUAGUAUUACGAGGCGAGAGGUGAAAUUCGUAGACCCUCGUAAGACUAACUUAAGCGAAAGCAUUUGCCAAGGAUGUUUUCAUUAAUCAAGAACGAAAGUUAGAGGAUCGAAGGCGAUCAGAUACCGCCCUAGUUCUAACCAUAAACGAUGCCAGCUAGCAAUUGUAUGUAGCUACUAAUUUUGGUUCAUACAGUCGCUUUCCGGGAAACCAAAGCUUUUGGGCUCCGGGGGAAGUAUGGUUGCAAAGCUGAAACUUAAA